AAAUUGAAGAGUUUGAUCAUGGCUCAGAUUGAACGCUGGCGGCAGGCCUAACACAUGCAAGUCGAACGGUAACAGGAAGCAGCUUGCUGCUUUGUUGACGAGUGGCGGACGGGUGAGUAAUGUCUGGGAAACUGCCUGAUGGAGGGGGAUAACUACUGGAAACGGUGGCUAAUACCGCAUAACGUCGCAAGACCAAAGAGGGGGACCUUCGGGCCUCUUGCCAUCAGAUGUGCCCAGAUGGGAUUAGCUUGUUGGUGAGGUAACGGCU
rnacentral:rRNA from 1 species